AGGCAGCCUAGGAGAACAGAUGUAUGCAGUGGAUAGUUUCCGACCUGUCACAGCUUCUCUUAAUGUAUGGUUACGCCAAAUAAGGAGAGUAACUGAUUAAGUUAUAUAUUUCUAUAUACAGGUAUUUAUAUUUCUAGUAUAUGGUGAUCAUGUGGAAGUGCCUGAAGUUUGGAGUUCAAGCUGUGUGUAUCUGAAGGCAAAAGAAAGUAAUACAUUGAUGGCUACACUUCAAGACAGGGUGAUUUUAAUAGUGUUGUCUGGAAGAGUUACCAAGUAUUUUAUGAAAUAGGCAGAACAGAAAAUUCUAAGGAUCACAUGAAUGUUAACUGUGGUAAACGUGGAGACUAAAUUCAGCCACUUGAAGUGUGAAAUGGAGGGAUCUUAGUCUUGUUUCCAUUGAAAAGCUCAACCAAGUCUUAACUAUGCAGGUAGGGACUGGCUACAGGAGCUGAAAGUCUGAAAUGAAGCAAAGGGGUCUUAAUCCAGCCAGUCCAUAACUGCUGAGAGAAUGCUCCACCUGAGAGUUGACUGUUGUAAGUCACAACAAUACAUGACUGCAAAGAAAAAAAAGUUGCUUUUUUGUGUUGAUAAUUUAAAAAUAAAUGUUAAAAAUACAGUAUUCAUUUCAA